GUGAAUCAUCGAAUUUUUGAACGCAAAUUGCACUCUUUUGUAAUAGUAUGCCUGUUUGUGGGUCAGUAUCAAUUAAAACCGGAGUGUUGCUUCUGUGUGACGCUCCGUUGUUUGGGUCAUCUUAAUAUCCUUUAGGUUUUAAGAGGCUUAAAAUUGACUUUUUUUGCUCAUUUUAGAUGUACAUAAAUUCUUUUUUUUAUUCUUCUGUCUGAUUUCUAUAAAUCCUAUUAGAUGCGACCAUAUGGUGUG
rnacentral:misc_RNA from 1 species